rnacentral:rRNA from 1 species
CCUACGGGUGGCAGCAGUGAGGAAUAUUGGUCAAUGGGCGAGAGCCUGAACCAGCCAAGUCGCGUGAGGGAGUACUGCCCGAUGGGUUGUAAACCUCUUUUGUCGGGGAGCAAAAGCCGGACGUGUCCGGCUGUGAGAGUACCCGAAGAAAAAGCAUCGGCUAACUCCGUGCCAGCAGCCGCGGUAAUACGGAGGAUGCGAGCGUUAUCCGGAUUUAUUGGGUUUAAAGGGUGCGCAGGCGGAUUUUUAAGUCAGCGGUAAAAUCGUGGGGCUCAACCCCAUCCAGCCGUUGAAACUGGGGAUCUAGAGUGUGCGAGAGGUAUGCGGAAUGCGUGGUGUAGCGGUGAAAUGCAUAGAUAUCACGCAGAACCCCGAUUGCGAAGGCAGCAUACCGGUGCACAACUGACGCUCAGGCACGAAAGCGUGGGUAUCGAACAGGAUUAGAUACCCCUGUAGUC